AUUGAACGCUGGCGGCAUGCCUUACACAUGCAAGUCGAACGGCAGCACGGGUGCUUGCACCUGGUGGCGAGUGGCGAACGGGUGAGUAAUACAUCGGAACAUGUCCUGUAGUGGGGGAUAGCCCGGCGAAAGCCGGAUUAAUACCGCAUACGAUCCACGGAUGAAAGCGGGGGCCUUUCGGCCUCCCCCCUUUAGGGUUGGCGAUGGCUGAUUAGCUAGUUGGUGGGGUAAAGGCCUACCAAGGCGACGAUCAGUAGCUGGUCUGAGAGGACGACCAGCCACACUGGGACUGAGACACGGCCCAGACUCCUACGGGAGGCAGCAGUGGGGAAUUUUGGACAAUGGGCGAAAGCCUGAUCCAGCAAUGCCGCGUGUGUGAAGAAGGCCUUCGGGUUGUAAAGCACUUUUGUCCGGAAAGAAAUCCUUGACUCUAAUACAGUCGGGGGAUGACGGUACCGGAAGAAUAAGCACCGGCUAACUACGUG
rnacentral:rRNA from 1 species